UACGUAGGGUGCAAGCGUUGUCCGGAAUUAUUGGGCGUAAAGAGCUCGUAGGCGGUUUGUCGCGUCGAAUGUGAAAACCCGGGGCUCAACCCCGGGCCUGCAUUCGAUACGGGCAGACUAGAGGUAGGCAGGGGAGAGCGGAACUCCUGGUGUAGCGGUGGAAUGCGCAGAUAUCAGGAAGAACACCCGUGGCUAAGGCGGCUCUCUAGUACGGUACUGACGCUGAGACGCGAAAGCGUGGGGAGCGAACAGG
rnacentral:rRNA from 1 species